CCUACGGGAGACAGCAGUGAGGAAUAUUGGUCAAUGGGCGCGAGCCUGAACCAGCCAAGUAGCGUGAAGGAUGACUGCCCUACGGGUUGUAAACUUCUUUUAUAAAGGAAUAAAGUGAGGCACGUGUGCCUUUUUGUAUGUACUUUAUGAAUAAGGAUCGGCUAACUCCGUGCCAGCAGCCGCGGUAAUACGGAGGAUCCUAGCGUUAUCCGGCUUUAUUGGGUUUAAAGGGAGCGUAGAUGGGUUGUUAAGUCCGUUGUGAAAGUUUGCGGCUCAACCGUAAAAUUGCAAUUGAUACUGGCAGCCUUGAGUACAGUUGAGGUAGGCGGAAUUCGUGGGGUAGCGGUGAAAUGCUUAGAUAUCACGAAGAACUCCGAUUGCGAAGGCAGCUUACUAAACUGCCACUGACAUUGAUGCUCGAAAGUGUGGGUAUCAAACAGGAUUAGAUACCCUAGUAGUC
rnacentral:rRNA from 1 species